CCUUGAGCCGUGGCUUUCGGAGCUAACGCGUUAAGUAGACCGCCUGGGGAGUACGGUCGCAAGAUUAAAACUCAAAUGAAUUGACGGGGGCCCGCACAAGCGGUGGAGCAUGUGGUUUAAUUCGAUGCAACGCGAAGAACCUUACCUACUCUUGACAUCCAGAGAAUCCAGCGGAGACGCAGGAGUGCCUUCGGGAGCUCUGAGACAGGUGCUGCAUGGCUGUCGUCAGCUCGUGUUGUGAAAUGUUGGGUUAAGUCCCGCAACGAGCGCAACCCUUAUCCUUGUUUGCCAGCGAGUCAUGUCGGGAACUCCAGGGAGACUGCCGGUGAUAAACCGGAGGAAGGUGGGGACGACGUCAAGUCAUCAUGGCCCUUACGAGUAGGGCUACACACGUGCUACAAUGGCGCAUACAGAGGGCAGCGAGCCAGCGAUGGUAAGCGAAUCCCAAAAAGUGCGUCGUAGUCCGGAUUGGAGUCUGCAACUCGACUCCAUGAAGUCGGAAUCGCUAGUAAUCGUGAAUCAGAAUGUC
rnacentral:rRNA from 1 species